CGGCGCGCGCGUCUCGACGCCACUGCGCCGACGCACCUCACUCCUACUACCAGCCGGUAACAUUCGUCCGAAGAGACAAUAUUCGUCGCAGACGAGCCGCACGCAGUCGUAAGCGCAGAUCUAGCGGAGACCGAGUGAAAGUAAACUUGGACGUUACUACAUUGCAUUACUGAUGUACGAACGAAGAAUUCUCAUUUACUUCAUUUUGGUCAUUUUAAAUAUUUCAUAGCAGCUUACUUAGUAGCUCAUACUAAGAGUCGGAAUUUAUGGUAAAUACUCUAAAUACAUACUUGCGGUGUUAUAGCCAAGUUGCAAACGAUUAUGACAAUAGAAAGAUGUUUUCUUGAUGAUUAACUUAUUGUAGAUUUGUCGCAAAUGGCAUUCACUACUUAGCUGGACAAACGGGGAGCGCUCUCACCCGGACAAUAGAUAGUGAUUAUGACAAUAUUCAGUGAAUGUUGACUGUUAUCAUAUAUACUAUACACACCCAUGAUUCCUAAGGGGGUGGGCUCAACCACAAAUAAUUAGAAUGCAAUUUGCAUGCCUGUAAGAUUUUUCAUUUACUACUUCUCCAAUUUCGUUUCGACCUUUUUUGUAGAUUCCCAUUCCAUGAUAGGUUAGGGCGAAUUAAUCGCCUUUCUUUUAACUCUCAGGUACCUACAAAGAAAAUAAUAUACGAUCGAGUUCCAAGAGUAGUCGCUGUGUAAAGGUAAAUUCACUUAGAUAGACCUCACAGAUUAUUACAGCGCGACGGAAUGGUGCACUGUGCGCCCGCGCAGCUGACGGAGAGAUUUCAUACUCAGUUGAUUACUUCCUCACUACGAUAGUGAUUAGAUUUUCCCCACUUCAUAUCUGAAGUUCCGGUGAAUAUUGUCAUCAUAAUCGUUUAUAAACGAUUUUUUUUUAUUUUAAUCGAUAAAUAUACCUAGUUUUUAUUGAGAGUCACUCUGGUAUUGUGAUCCACUGGCUUGAUUCUACAAACGGGGAGCGCCGGUUUGAACCCCGGUACUGGACUUGUACCAAUGAGUUAUUAAUUUAUAUCUUAAGUGCAGUUUUCACUAACACAGCUUAGUUGGCUCGCUUUUUUUUUGACGUGACUUGGGUAGUUUCUUAGGUCAAAAAUAAAUUAAGAAACGCUAAUUACUAAGUAAAGACAGAUCGAUAGGUGACAAAAAAGGUUUUCUUUUUUCUAUUUUAUUUAUUUAUGAAUUUUAAUAAGAAAAAUGUAAUAAGAAGUGUGACAUUUUGUCACGUUUUUCUAUGACGUCACAGGUUGCUUUUUCGUACAAAUUCCAUAGUAAUUUCGUGUUUUGAGGUUAGUAAAAAGUAACUGAUUUGACUAGUUGGAAACUACCCCAUUACGGCUCACCAGCUAUCACGUUGGUCUAACAGAAAGCGAUAUGAGGUGUGGUUUCUUUAGGUCAUCUUGCGAUGGAUGUAUGUUUAAAAACAUUUUACAAUUGUAAAUCGUCCCUUAUCACUUGGAUCAAGCAACUAAAUUACGACACAUGUGAGCAAUUGCUUCACACUACACAUAUAUGAGUAGGAAACGUAAAAUACUAUUACCACUUAAAUUUUUCACAAUAAACACCCACCCACACACACACUCACACACACAAACACACUCACACACACACACGUACACACGCACACACACACACACACAUAUACACACCGCACAUACACACACACACACCGCACACACACACACACACACACCUCUUUAUCUUUACUUCUGUCAAAAAAUUUUAUUCACAUAAGUCUUUAAAAAGUAUAAGAUGUUUAAAAUAUGGAGGAGCGGAGCCUCCUGAUACAGGCAUCCUUCUUGCUUAAAAGGAGACUCCAUCAAUUAGUUGUAAGAUGUUUAAAAUUGUAAACGAAAAUAAAUAUUUUUGAUUUUUGA